ACGCUGGCGGCGUGCCUAAUACAUGCAAGUCGAACGAGAGCGACCGGUGCUUGCACUGGUCAAUCUAGUGGCGAACGGGUGAGUAACACGUGGGUAACCUGCCCAUCAGAGGGGGAUAACAUUCGGAAACGGAUGCUAAAACCGCAUAGGUCUUCGAACCGCAUGGUUUGAAGAGGAAAAGAGGCGCAAGCUUCUGCUGAUGGAUGGACCCGCGGUGCAUUAGCUAGUUGGUGAGGUAACGGCUCACCAAGGCCGUGAUGCGUAGCCGACCUGAGAGGGUGAUCGGCCACAUUGGGACUGAGACACGGCCCAAACUCCUACGGGAGGCAGCAGUAGGGAAUCUUCCGCAAUGGACGCAAGUCUGACGGAGCAACGCCGCGUGAGUGAAGAAGGUUUUCGGAUCGUAAAACUCUGUUGUUAGAGAAGAACAAGUGCUAGAGUAACUGUUAGCGCCUUGACGGUAUCUAACCAGAAAGCCACGGCUAACUACGUGCCAGCAGCCGCGGUAAUACGUAGGUGGCAAGCGUUGUCCGGAUUUAUUGGGCGUAAAGCGAGCGCAGGCGGUUCCUUAAGUCUGAUGUGAAAGCCCCCGGCUCAACCGGGGAGGGUCAUUGGAAACUGGGGAACUUGAGUGCAGAAGAGGAGAGUGGAAUUCCAUGUGUAGCGGUGAAAUGCGUAGAUAUAUGGAGGAACACCAGUGGCGAAGGCGACUCUCUGGUCUGUAACUGACGCUGAGGCUCGAAAGCGUGGGUAGCAAACAGGAUUAGAUACCCUGGUAGUCCACGCCGUAAACGAUGAGUGCUAAGUGUUGGAGGGUUUCCGCCCUUCAGUGCUGCAGUUAACGCAUUAAGCACUCCGCCUGGGGAGUACGACCGCAAGGUUGAAACUCAAAGGAAUUGACGGGGACCCGCACAAGCGGU
rnacentral:rRNA from 1 species